CUUGGAAGAACUUCAAGGUCAAUAGAACUGAAGGGUCCCAGAGGGAAGGCAGCAUUCCCCACAAGGCCAAUAGGAAGAGCGGGGGCCAUCCUGGAUAUGCAUGCUCAACCACCAGGUGGGGAGUGAGAGAGAGAAGAACUUCUGUGGUAAAACCUUUACAGGGGUCCAAGUUCGUUUUCCUCUAAAGAACUACCUGAGACUGAGUAAUUUAUAAAUCAAGGAGGUUUAAUUGACUCAGAGUUGUGCAUGGCUGGGAAGGCCUCAGGAAACUUGCAAUUAUGGUGGAAGGCAGAGAGGAAGCAGUAAGGCACAUCUUACAUGGCAGCAGGAUGCGGGGAGUGCUACAACUUGAGAGCACCAGAUCUCGUGAGAACUCACUAUUACAAGAACAGCAUGGGGAAAACUGCCGCCAUGAUUCAGUCACCUCCCACUGAUGGCAGUGGCAGCCGUCUGGAGUGGCCUCUGUGAUGACGACACUUGCAGGAGGCAAGGUACUGCUGCGGCUGCUUGCUCUGUGCAUCUGGCAAGAGUUCCGAAGAGGUCCACCCAUGGCUGCCCAUAGACCAAUCAGCAUGCACUUUCUCCUUUCUGAGCCCAUAACAUCCCCGGACUCAGCCAGACUCACCAUCUGCGGGAAGGAGCUCCCCACUUUGGGUCUCCUCAGUUCUUCCAGAUGAGUGUCCUGCAGAAAGGAGAUACCCACUCUAGGUCUCCUCACUGCAGAGACCUGGAUACUUAACAGGACGACCUGACUGUGGAAAGGAGUUACCCACUUUGGGUCUCCUGAGAGCUGUUCUGUCCCUCACCGAAGCUCCUCUGUGCCUUGCUCACCCUCCAGUUGUCUGCGUACCUCAUUCCUCAUUGAUGUGGAACAAGAACUUGGGACAGGAUGAAUGGUGGGAUUGAAAGAGUGGUAAACAAGCAGGGCUGAAACACACCACUCUGCUUGCCAUGUUGUGGAUGACAAGAAGGAGAGAAUAGCUGCAGCCCUUCGGGAGGCCAGGCACAGGGACUCCCCAAGCCAGGGUUGUGACACCCUCUUUGGGCUCUGCAAUUACUUGUGUCUCCAAGCUUCUAGGUUCCACUACGUUCCCCUAGUCCAGAUGCGAGUGCCCACAGUGAAAGCCGCAUGCAGUACAUCUGGUCCAGCCACAGCCUUGCAUGGAGCUGGCAUCUGUGCUGGGGCCUGUAGCUGCCCGCCCCACCACAGCAACCAGUGUGCCUGGCUGUGCAUAGUGGCUGAACCCGCGCUUACUCAUGCACACUUCCCUCACUGCUCCAUGCCUGACUCGCUGUUGGCAGGCGUGGGAGCUGGGCCAACAGUGUGAGCCAAGUGCAGCCUGCUGAGUCGAGUGGGCAGGAAAAUCCCAGUGAGCGUGAGCAAUAUUCAGGCAGAAGGCACUGCCAGCCACAGAGGUUUCUGGCUGGUGAAAUAACACCCCAAGGAGCCCAUGACAUCACCAGGUCUCUCUCUCAAUAUGUGGAGAUUACAAUUUGAGAUGAGAUUUGGGUGGGGACGCAGAGCCAAACCAUAUCAUUCCUAUUAUUAUUUUAUAUUAAACUUUUGAAGCUUACUUUACUAUUUAGGUAGCAAUGCAUUUAGUGAGACUGUUCAAAUCAUUUGAUGAUAAUUGAUAAAAUAUCUUUGGAAUUGUGUGCCUUCUCAUUUCCAGAAAGUAUUGGAAGUUUUUACUUGUACCAUGGAUAGCUACAUCUUGUUACACGGAAACGGAGUGGUUUCAUUUUUGUUUGGAAGCUUUAAUGUAUAAAAAUCUUUAUAUGAAAGUGGAGUAAGCAAACGGGUAUAUUGGUCUAUCAAUUUAUUACUUGCAGUACCAAAUCUACUUCCCUUUUUCCUACUUUGUGAGAUCAGAGCUAAACUCUUAAUAUUUUUCCUUUGCCACUUGGUACAAGUAGACUUUGUCAGUAGAGGAGGCCAGCGGGACACUGAAGCUCAAAGCAAUGUAUGCUCCUGGUUGCUUUAUUUCCUCCUAUGUUAUGGGUACAAGGUGGAGGACCAGUGGUGCUCAGGUUUCAGUGCAUCUACAGAAUACCACUUCCUGUGAAUCAGCUCGAGCACACUAGUACUUUCAAGUGAUCUUCUUGGUCACAUAGUGUACAGUUUCCAUAUACAAAUAUGGCUCACCUGAAUCUUUUAACAAGUUUAUCAGCCAUACAGUGGCCACGCUUGCAAACUAGCUCCAAUCUGCGCAUUGUGAGAAAUUUUUUUGCUAUAGGUAUGCUGCUGGCUCAGGUGGUAGCCCCACUGUCUCCAAUAAUGUCUGCUUCUCAGCCUGGGAAGAGUGUGCUGUUAUAUAUUCUCAGUUUCUUCAAUGUUUUCUCUUGCUCACCCCUAGAAAUAAAAGCAAAUUUCUACAUUUCUAUUUCUUUGUUCCUUGGAUGUCUCAUUCCCCUUUUUUAGUAGCUAAUCAUCUUUUACUAGUUAGUAAUUAUUUAUAAUAAAAACUUUUUUUGAUCACUGAUAUGCUUUCUGUCUCUUGACUAGACCCUAACUGAUAUACCUACAUUGAAAUAAGUUGUAGGUUGCAUAAAAUUUGUUGAACAUUUCUGCUUCAACACAAAUUAAGAUGAGCACAGUUGAACACAAUAAUUAUUUUACAAAAGUAUUAUAUCAUCAUCAUAACAAUUAUAGAGGGACAUUAAAUAUCCUGCAGAAUCAAGUACUGACAUAAUAUUUUAUUUGUAGCUUUAAAAAAGGUAAUAUUUAAAAAAAACUUAUUUGCUGAAUGUUUACUCAUGGUUAACAUCUUUCUUGGUCAAAAUUGAGGCACUGAUUAUUAUUCUCUACCAAAUAAUUGUUUCAUAUAACUGUGAUACAGAUAACAAAACAUGUUGACUUUUAUCUCACAUUCUCUGUUAAUUAUUAUUUGCUUUUCCCCCAUUUUUGAGUAGUAAAUACUAAGUAAAGUGAAUAAAAAAAUUGACUCCAGAUUCAAUACAUAAUAUCAGUACAAAUAGCAAAGGUAUUUGUCUGUAGGGUCACCCAUCACCAAAAUGAUUCAAUCAAAGUUAUAUAUUUACUAUGCAGUCUAGUUAAGAUUGAAAUUAGAAAAGGAGUUAUUAUUUCUACACAAAUACUUAUUUUGUGAUUUGUCAAAAAUUACCACAUUCUUUGGAUAACAAAACAGUAAACAGUGCAAAGGAAUUGCUGUUGUUGUUGUUCUGUUGUCAUAGCAUUGAGAUUUUUGAUAUGAGCAUAAAGCUUCUCACACCAACAUUAAUCUCUUGAGUUAUAUACAUUAGUAUAUAUUUUGCUUGUGAGCAGUGAUCAUGUUUCUUUAGCCUUAUUUAUUUGCUGCUUUGCCAUGUAUAUAUAUAUGGAUGGGCAACAUUUGUCAUUGCCUCCCUUAAAAUAGAUUCUGUUUCAAAAGCUUUAACAUGGACUACAUUAAAGUCUGAUCAAGGUAUGCUGAGACAAAUCUGUGGAUUUGGUUCUGUGUUGUAUUGAUGUUUGUUUUCUAUGGCUGUUUAUUUUCCAGUCAUGUAGAAAGAUUCCUAAGAGAAUAUAUUCCAGAUUGACUUUUUAUGGGUCUUUAGUAGAAUCUAGAAUGCUAUUUCAGGAGAUCUUGUGGUUCAUCUGCAGAAACAUAUCACCUAAUUGAAGAGCCCCACUCCUUCUCCAAUCAUGGACAUCUGCAAGUUUAAGAUGGUGACCAAAGUCCUGCACAAAAUCUUAAGUAUGGUCCUAGAAACUCAGAACCUCUAAGCUUGCUAGUCUCUGAACCUAGAAAUAUCCAUGAUCAAGUUAAUAGAAGAUGGCACAUUCUAGACAAAAAUUUUGUGGAACUUUUAAUAAUACGAUCAUGCCUGCUAGUAACAAAAGUUAAAAAAAAAUUAUCAACAAUAUAACACAUUGUGUGAUUUAAAACAGAAGUUAGAUUAAAGCAUAUAUUAAAAUUCAAGCUAUAUUCCCUUCUCACCCUUAUACUGUGGUGAGAAUUGUGCAAAUAGACUUCUACCUGUCCUUUGAUAUUGAAGAAAAUGAAAUAAUGCCACCCUCCCCCCAAAUAAAUGUUUUUGUUUUGUUUUGUUUUGUUUUUUUGACGGAGUCUCUGUCACCCAGGCUGGAGUGCAGUGGCAUGAUCUUUGCUCACUGCAACCUCCACCUCUGAGGUUCAAGCAAUUCUCCUGCCUCAGCCUCCCGAGUAGCUGAGACUACAGGCGUACACCACCACACCGGCUAAUUUUUUGUAUUUUUAGUAGAGACGGGGUUUCACCAUGUUAGGAUUAUCUCGAUCUCCUGACCUCAUGAUCCGCCCAUCUUGGCCUCCUAAAGUGCUGAGAUUACAGGCAUGAGCCACGGUUCCUGGCCCAAAUAAAGCUUUUGAAAGAAAAGUUAUAGCAUUCACAUGAGAGGGUUUUUUUUUUGAAAAAUUGUAUGCCAAAUGUAAGGUUUAUUCCAUGGUGUAAUUUGUAGAUAAUCUAUAUAGUACUAACAAUAUAAUUGUACUUUUUUUAACUAUAGUUCCUCUUUUGUUUUGUAAAUUCAUUAUAAAUUGUUUAUCAAUUAUACUGUCAUCAUUAAAGAAUGAGAAAGAAAACUCUCAAGAGCAUUUUUAAUUGUAAUGAUUUGAUUAAACAAGAAGUGCUGUAAAGAAGGUAAUGAAUCAAGCCUAAACAGCAAAAUGGAGUAACUCUUCCAGGAUUUAUAUAAAAGUAUUUAUAGAUAUAUUAUGGUGUGCUUUGUAAUUUAUGAAAGUAAAUUAUAAUAACACUUCAAUCGAUUUGUAAAAACAUAAACAACAAAAGUAAAAUAUGUUUUUUCUUUUUUCUUUUUUUUCUUU
rnacentral:lncRNA from 10 species